GACGAACGCUGGCGGCGUGCCUAACACAUGCAAGUCGAGCGAAUGAAGUUCCUUCGGGAAUGGAUUUAGCGGCGGACGGGUGAGUAACACGUGGGCAACCUGCCUCAUAGAGGGGAAUAGCCUUCCGAAAGGGAGAUUAAUACCGCAUAAGAUUGUAGUACCGCAUGGUACAGCAAUUAAAGGAGCAAUCCGCUAUGAGAUGGGCCCGCGGCGCAUUAGCUAGUUGGUGAGGUAACGGCUCACCAAGGCGACGAUGCGUAGCCGACCUGAGAGGGUGAUCGGCGACAUUGGGACUGAGACACGGCCCAGACUCCUACGGGAGGCAGCAGUGGGGAAUAUUGCACAAUGGGGGAAACCCUGAUGCAGCAACGCCGCGUGAGUGAUGACGGCCUUCGGGUUGUAAAGCUCUGUCUUCAGGGACGAUAAUGACGGUACCUGAGGAGGAAGCCACGGCUAACUACGUGCCAGCAGCCGCGGUAAUAC
rnacentral:rRNA from 1 species